CCUACGGGAGGCAGCAGUGAGGAAUAUUGGUCAAUGGGCGCGAGCCUGAACCAGCCAAGUCGCGUGAGGGAUGACUGCCCUAUGGGUUGUAAACCUCUUUUAUAAAGGAAUAAAGUGAGGCACGUGUGCCUUUUUGUCUGUACUUUAUGAAUAAGGAUCGGCUAACUCCGUGCCAGCAGCCGCGGUAAUACGGAGGAUCCGAGCGUUAUCCGGAUUUAUUGGGUUUAAAGGGAGCGUAGAUGGGAUGGUAAGGUAGUUGGGAAAGUUGGCGGCUUAACCGUAUAAUUGCAAUUGAGACUGGCAGCCUUGAGUACAGUUGAGGUAGGCGGAAUUCGUGGUGUAGCGGUGAAAUGCUUAGAUAGCACGAAGAACUCCGAUUGCGAAGGCAGCUUAC
rnacentral:rRNA from 1 species